ensembl:lncRNA
UUUUUUUUGUUUUUUGUCUUUUUUGUUUGUUUUUUGUCUUUUCUAGGGCUGCACCUGCAGCAUAUGGAGGUUCCCAGGCUAGGGGUCUAAUUGGAGCUGUAGCCGAAGGCCUACACCACAGCCACAGCAAUGCCAGAUCUGAGCCGCGUCUGUGACCUACACCACAGCUCACGGCAACGCCGGAUCCUUAACCCACUGAGCAAGGCCAGGGAUCGAACCCACAACCUCAUGUUCCUAGUCGGAUUCGUUAACCACCGAGCCACGACAGGAACGCCUAAAGAUAACUUUCUAUAAACAAGAUUUCUACUAGGCACAAGAAACUAUUCGUCUAAAUAGGUAGUUGGAAUUCCCUGGUGGCUCAGUGGGUUAAGGAGCCAUCUGCCACUGUCGCUGCGGAGGCUUGGGGCACUGCUGUGGCCCAGGGGGGGAGCCAUUGGCUAGCACGCCCUAGGCCUCCACAGUAAAUUCCAGUGCGAGCGCGCCAUCUGCGUUUCGUUGUUUUUCCUCCUUCACUGCCUGGCUGUGUCUUGUCACAUCUCUCUGAACUCCGUGUGCCUGCCAAUGGCAACCUCCUCUUCCCUUUCUAAUUGAUCGUUUCUAAUCUGCAGUGGUCAGGAAGCUGGAUGACCAAGACUGCUAGAAAUGUGUCGAAAGUAAGUGUGACGGCCAGCGUCUUCUCUUGCUGCCCAGAAGCCCACAGUUGCUGAUGUCCUGAGUCUCAGCUGCGUUUUAGACUGGUGCAUUGCUAGCAUAGUUCUCAACUAUUAAAGUGGUUUCAAAGAUAUCAGCCUAUCAGGGAAGGUUACGUAACUCUUCGAAGCCAACCUGCCCUCUAUGACAUCAGUUUAUUGCCUGCAGAAUGUUUUGGCGGGGGGCGCAGCAUGCAGCAACUUCGCGUGGGAUCUCAGUUCCCAGACCAGAGGUUGAACUCGGGCUGCAGCAGCGAAAGCACCAAAUCCUAACUACGAGACCACCAAGGAACUCCCCUGCAUGUAGAAUUUUUAGAUGAUUUAAUGUCACCCAUCACAGAAAGGGCCAGUCACCCCUCAUCUGCCUUCAGACCAGAUGGCGGAUAUUGUGAGAAAACUGCUCGAUUCUCACUGGAGGAUGAUUCUUUCUUUCCAUAAAAGGCUUGUGCUUAGAAUUCAACAUUUAGUUCAACUCUUUCUUCAUGAACCAGAGUAUAAAUAAGUGAAAGAAAAAAAAAAAAACUUCUUCAGGAAGUAGUAUGUCUUUGUGGGUUCACUUGAGGACGGAGAGGGGCAAGGUGCAAUUUCUGGAGCUUCUGUUCAGCAGACCCAAGCGGUCCCGUCGGUGGAGCCCACUGACAGUGCUCUAGUUUUCCCAAUAACUCCGGCCACUGGUCCUCCUGCUCCCAGAUGAGGUCCCCCUGUUCCCAGGUCAAAGGACCAGACUAGAGUUUUCAACUAUAAAAAGGGAGCGAGAGGCCGCAGUAGGAGUGCCCACUGGGUUAAGGAUCCAGCGUGGCUGCAGCUGUGGCGUCGGCCGCAGCUGCGGCCUGGACUCCAUCCCUGGCCCAGAGAACUUCCACGGACUGUGGGUGCAGCCAAAAAAGAACAACAACAAAAAAGAAGCUGCAGUCAAUCACACACCCAGAUGGCGAUGAAAGAGGCUGACGGACGUCAACACCACACAACCACGUGUCUCUGCUCGUGGACAGGAAACUCUUCUCAGAAAGAAAGAAAGUCACAUCCAGUGCCUGGUGUCAUACCACAGCGAAUCGGGCCUGCGGGUGAUUUUACCCAGUGCCUCUGGCUCCUCCAAGGCAAUGGAUGCAGCAAUGUCAGGCACUUCACCAUCGGCACAGCUCAGCUCAGUGCUGGAGUCCCUGCUCACAUGGUAAGAGGUUCUCGUGUGUGGGGCUGGCUUGAUGUUACUUCUUCAUGCUGCUAAAGGCACCUGACACUCUUUUACUCAUUCAUUCAACCAGUGAUUGGUGGGCACUGGUGACACAACAGUCUACAAAGCACACAAGACGCCUGCCUGUCCUUGUGGGUCUUACAGGCUGAAGUUAUUUUUUUUUUUUUGUCUUUUUGCCAUUUUCUUGGGCCACUCCCGCGGCAUAUGGAGGACGUUCCCAGGCUAGGGGUUGAAUCAGAGCUGUAGCCGCCGGCCUACGCCACAGCCACAGCAACAUGGGAUCCGAGCCACAUCUGCGACCUACACCACAGCUCACGGCAACGCCGGAUCCUUAACCCAUUGAGCAAGCCCAGGGAUCGAACCCGCUACCUCGUGGUUCCUACUUGGAUUCGUUAACCACUGAGCCACGAUGGGAACUCCUGAAGUUACAUUUUAAACAAAAUGUCAUGAAACCUAUAAAAGCGACACUACCAGGUGGCCUCCUCCCACAGGACCUCUUAUAAUAAACCCGGUGUGUGCCUCUGUUGUAGGUUCAAUUGCGUCUCCCCAAAUCUGUAUGUUGAGGUCCCCACCCCAGUACCUUAAAAAGUGACAGUAUUUGGAGAGACCUUUUCGGAGGUAAUUAUGGUAAAAUAAGCUCGUAGGGGUGGGGCCAUCAUCCAACACGACUGGAGUCCUUCUGAGGAGCGAUUAGGUCACAGACACACACAGAGGGAAGGCCCGGCGAGGACACAGGGAAAAGUGGUCUCCGAAGAAACCAAUGAUGCCAGCGGCUCCAGCCCCCGCCCCGGACCUCCGGCCUCCAGGGCUGUCAGGGAAUAUGUUUCUGCUGCUGAAGCCACCCCAACCCACCCCAGCCUGGGGGACCUUGUUAGCCGACAAAUGCAGCUUCCAGAGCCUCAACCUUAUCUGCCCACGUGCAGGGAGUGCCUGCAGGCCAGAACCAUGGGGUCAGAACCAGAAGUGAGGAUGCUGGGAUGUGGGUGCCUACGGGAGCACACAGCAUAGUGAGGGGACCGCCCAGGAAUAGGACUAGCAGCGUUACCGGAAGACACAGUGGUCAGAGUCCUGAAAGUAAGGCCACUGGAAGCAAUCUGUCGAAGAGGCCAUACGAAAACCAUCCUAUGUCCAUGAAACAAAUACGUCACACCUAUUACAAUGACCCCAGAUUGGGGUUGGUAGAUGCAAACUAUUGCAUUUAGAAGAGACGGCAGGAGUUCCCACUGCGGCUCAGGGGUAACGAACCCGACCAGUAUCCAUGAGGAUGCGGGUUCGAUGCCUGGCCUUGCUCACGGGGUUAAGGAACUGGCGUUGCCGUGAGCAGCCAUGUAGGCUGCAGAGUGGCUUGGAUCCCGAGUUGCUGUGGCUGUGCUGGAGGCCCAUAGCUGCAGCUCCAAUGCGACCCUUAGCCUGGGAACUUCAAUAUGCUGCAGGUGCGGCCCUAAAGGGGGGGGGGGAAGAAUGGAGGGGCAAUGAGGUCCUACUGUACCACACAGGGAACUACAUCUAAUCUCUUGGGAUAGAACAUGAUGGAAGAUAGCAUGAGAAAAAGAACGUCUAUCUGCGUAUGACAGGGUCACUUUGCAGGAAUGGGCACGGCACUGUAAAUCAACCAUACCUGAACACAAAAUAAAUAAAGUGAUCCCAGAGAAGAAUACUUAAUUUCAUGUGAAAAGUGCAUGCUAUACUUUGAAGUGAAAAAAGCUGGCUACAAAUGGAUAAUCCUGUUUUUAAAACAUCACCAAAAUGUUAUACUCAUGUAUAAAUAAAAAAAGAAGAGAAGGACAUGAAAAAGUUAAACAGUGGUUAUUUGUAGGCAGUGGGGUUAUGAGGGAUUUUAUCUUUUACCAUUCCGCUUAUCUCUAGUUUCCCAUUUUUGUCCAAUAAUGCAAUGAUUUUGCUAUAUGCAAAAAAAAAUAGUUUCAUUAAAUCCAAUACAUCAAGUGACUCUUUUUUUUUUUUUUUUAAUCUCUUGUCCUUUUAGGGCCACACCCGUGCCACAUGGAGGUUCCCAGGCUAGGGGUC